rnacentral:misc_RNA from 1 species
CAACCCUCAAGCCUCUCUGGGCUUGGCAUUGGGGAUCGGCCCCGCUCCGGCGGCCGGCCCCGAAAUUCAGUGGCGGUCCCGCCGCAGCGUCCUCUGCGUAGUAGCACACACCUCGCACUGGAACGCGGCGCGGCCACGCCGUAAAGCAGACGCAAGUCUCUUUUCUCAA